rnacentral:snoRNA from 1 species
CCUCUCGAAGAUGAUGAAUUGGUGGAGUACAUCUUCACCAGGCUAGAUGACGAGUAUGACUCGUUGGUCUCCGCUGUUCUUGCUCGAUCUGAUAUGAUCUCAGUAAGCGAGCCGUACUCCCAGAUGCUUGCUUUUGAGA